rnacentral:lncRNA from 1 species
UUUUUUCAUAAGAAACUCCACAGACUGCUUUUAGAAGAUUUGGCAAAAGUAGACACUCAAUAAAUAUUUGUUGAAUGAAAUGAAUUUUUACUAGCAAACAAUAUAUACUCAUUGGGGAAUGUUGCAUGCAGACUUUCACUGUAGCAAAUGAUACAUACUGAGCUAAGUAAGCCUUUUCUGGAAAACUUAGCUUUGUCUCAAUUAAUUUGCCAUAGUACUGGCCCAAUCAUACAUCAAAGCCUCUCACAUGUGGCAUUUUGCUUCCUCUUCCAGAGGGUCAUUCUGAUCAAUAUUGCUGAAAAUAGCUUAUUUCGUUGUGUAUUUCAGUUCUAGAGUUGUCAGAUAAAAUACAAAAAAAAACUAGUUAAAUUUGUAUAUGAGUUAAACAACAAUACUUUUUCAGUAUGUCUCAUGCAAUACUCAGGAUACCAGUCAGUAGUUGGAACUUUUUACUGAAAAAUUAUUCAUUAUUAAUCUUAAAUCCCAAUUUAACUAGGUGUCCUGUGUUUUUAUUUGUUAAGUCUGGUAACCUUAUUCAAGUCAGUAUGCAGGCUGUGCCUAUAAACUUCACUGAAACUGACAGCAUCAUGAAACAUUUACUGGCUCUGUCUUCUGGGGAAGAAAGUCUAGUCAGUGGAGUAUUGUGACUGGUUCCACUCUUCUCACGCACUGUAAACAUGUUUAAAAUGCAUUCCUUUUUUUAAAUAAUAUUAAUGUAAAGCUAAAGAUGUUUAGAAAAAAACAACGGGUUUCAUAGUGUCUGUCUUUUGCUGUCAAAUCAUCUCAGUGUGUGGCAAAUGGAUGACCUUUCAAAUGUCUUAGAGAGACAUAAACCAUGUUUUUCAUCUCAAGAUCAGACUGAGAAAAAGGGGGAAAAUGUGUUAACUCCAUGUGUGAAAAAGAAGAGAGAUGGGAGUGGAACUUAAUUACAUAAACUUGUCAUAGAAUUAAUUCAUCAUACUCAGUACAUAGAGAUAUUUUUCACAAUUUCAGAACAUUCUGGAGUGUAACUAAUUGAAACAUGACUCAUUGAUGAGCAGUAAUUCCAGUCAUUCCGGCCACUGCAUGAGAUAUUGUUGAAAGCAAGUGUACAGCCAGAAAAUGAUUAUUCAUAUACUAUCAAUGGAGUUGUAGCUCACUUAGCAAUUAAGAGUCAUUUUUACUUCCCAAUCUAUAAGCGUUUCUAACGCAUCUUUGAAGGUUUUCUGUAAAACUUCCCAUAGAAAUAUAUGAGGAGGAGGUAUUUUUCUGUUUCGAAUUUUAUUUUUGUAGCAUACACUGUUCUCAAUCCAUUGCCUCCACAUUAAAAACACAAUUCAAAUGCUUGAAACAAUACUCUGCACUUAUUAUGCAUACAUUUUUACCAUAUAGUGGCUCCUUAUUAUGAUUUUGACUUUGCCUAUAAUGGACUGAACUUAUUUUCCCAGAGGAGAAGAUAGCAAGGAAAAGAAAUUUUUUUUAAAUUAAAAACUCCAAAUUAUCCCCCUCGUCUUGCAUGUUUGUUCCAUCCUUAUUAUGGAUAUGGGACAGAAUUAUCACUUUCUGGAAUGUUUUCACUUAGUGGAGUAUUGUGCUGUGGACACCCUGACAUAUUUCAGGGCGUGUUUUGAGCCUCUUUUGCCUCCUCCUUUCAGCACGCUAUGCAGAUGUGCCGCUGAUGGCAUUUCGUGACUAACUUUCAAGUCUACAUUUGGUCUUACCUCAUUUGAAAGAAACCUUCCCUUUUAUCUCUGACUGUUAUGCAGCUCUUCCUUCAGGUAUUUGAUGUACUGAUGUGCACUAUGGUGUAUCACAGUGUAGAUUUCUUAUUAUUUUUCCUGCUCGGAGUUCACUGGGCUU